ACGGGAGGCAGCAGUGGGGAAUAUUGGGCAAUGGGGGGAACCCUGACCCAGCAACGCCGCGUGGAGGAAGGAGGUCUUCGGAUCGUAAACUCCUGUCCUAAGAGACGAGAAGGAGACGGUAUCUUAGGAGGAAGCCCCGGCUAACUACGUGCCAGCAGCCGCGGUAAUACGUAGGGGGCGAGCGUUGUCCGGAAUGAUUGGGCGUAAAGGGCGCGUAGGCGGCCUGUUAAGUCAGAAGUGGAAGUCCUGCUUUCAAGGUGGGAAUUGCUUUUGAUACUGAUGGGCUUGAGUGCAGGAGAGGUUAGUGGAAUUCCCAGUGUAGCGGUGAAAUGCGUAGAGAUUGGGAGGAACACCAGUGGCGAAGGCGACUAACUAGACUGUAACUGACGCUGAGGCGCGAAAGUGUGGGGAGCAAACAGGAUUAGAUACCCUGGUA
rnacentral:rRNA from 1 species